rnacentral:tRNA from 1 species
GGGUCGUUAGUAAAACCAUUACAUAGCCUUGUCAAGACUAAAUCGCAGGUGAAAACCCAGCACAACCCA